UUUAUCAAAAACAUCGCCUCUUGCAAAAUCAACGAAUAAGAGGUCCCGCCUGCCCAGUGACUCAUAUGUUUAACGGCCGCGGUAUUUUGACCGUGCAAAGGUAGCGCAAUCACUUGUCUUUUAAAUGGAGACCUGUAUGAAUGGCACCACGAGGGCUUAACUGUCUCCUUUCUUAGGCCAAUGAAAUUGAUUUCCCCGUGCAGAAGCGGGGAUAAUAACAUAAGACGAGAAGACCCUAUGGAGCUUUAGACACUAAAGCAGAUUACGUCAAAAACCCCCAUACAAGGGACCAAACCAAAUAUACCCUGCCCUAAUGUCUUCGGUUGGGGCGACCCCGGGGAAAAAAAUAACCCCCAUGAGGAGUGGAAGCAUGCUUCCAAAACUAAGAGCUACCGCUCUAAGAAUCAGAACUUCUGACCACCAGAUCCGGCAAAGCCGAUCAACGGACCGAGUUACCCUAGGGAUAACAGCGCAAUCCCCUUAUAGAGUCCCUAUCGACAAGGGGGUUUACGACCUCGAUGUUGGAUCAGGACAUCCUAAUGGUGCAGCCGCUAUUAAGGUUCGUUUGUUCAACGAUUAAAGUCCUACGUGAUCUGAGUUCA
rnacentral:rRNA from 1 species